AUCACAUCCUUUAAUGGGGAUCAGAGGCCCUGAAUCGGUGAGUUGUGUCAGUUUUUUUUGAUGUUUAAGACUUCAUGCAAUUCUAUUUUUCUUAUGCAGUUUUACUUCACAUCUGUUGCUAGCGGUAUCUGGCCUUUUUAAAGGAGAAAAGACGUUCCUGUGGAUGAGGAUUUUACCAGUCCAGAAAGCUAAUUUGG